AGUGAACGCUGGCGGUAGGCCUAACACAUGCAAGUCGAACGGCAGCACAGUAAGAGCUUGCUCUUACGGGUGGCGAGUGGCGGACGGGUGAGGAAUACAUCGGAAUCUACUUUUUCGUGGGGGAUAACGUAGGGAAACUUACGCUAAUACCGCAUACGACCUACGGGUGAAAGCAGGGGAUCUUCGGACCUUGCGCGAUUGAAUGAGCCGAUGUCGGAUUAGCUAGUUGGCGGGGUAAAGGCCCACCAAGGCGACGAUCCGUAGCUGGUCUGAGAGGAUGUUCAGCCACACUGGAACUGAGACACGGUCCAGACUCCUACGGGAGGCAGCAGUGGGGAAUAUUGGACAAUGGGCGCAAGCCUGAUCCAGCCAUACCGCGUGGGUGAAGAAGGCCUUCGGGUUGUAAAGCCCUUUUGUUGGGAAAGAAAAGCAGCAGGUUAAUACCCCGCUGUUCUGACGGUACCCAAAGAAUAAGCACCGGCUAACUUCGUG
rnacentral:rRNA from 1 species